CAGGCAUCCGUGCAUGUCCUGAGACACUCCACGGCCAUCUACCCAGGGUUCCAGUGCUCUGUGCAUGUCGGGAACGUGCGUCAGACGGCCAUUAUCGAGGGUAUAAUGUCUCCGAACAACGUGCUGAGGGCGGGCGAGGGGGCCUCCGUGCUGUUCAGGUUCGCCCGCUGUCCGGAGUACCUCGUGCGGGGCCGCCGGCUGCUGUUCACGGCGGGGCUGGGGACCAGAGCCAUCGGCCGGGUCACGCAAACCUUCCCGUACAUACCAUGAAUUCUAUAGAACACGGCUCCAAUGUAAAAUUCGAG